rnacentral:rRNA from 1 species
AUUGAACGCUGGCGGCAGGCCUAACACAUGCAAGUCGAGCGGAGCGGCAGUCGGGUACGUAAUGCUUAGGAGUCUGCAUGGUAGUCGUGGAUGGCGUCUGACAACGGGCACUAAUACCGCAUACUAUCCGAUGAGCUUAGGUCGGAUUAGCUAGUUGGUGGGGUCAAGGCCUACCAAGGCGACGAUCCGGACCUGUUCUGAGAGGAUGAUCAGUCACACUGGAACGGGGACACGGUCAAGACUCCUACGGGAGGAAGCAGUGGGGAAUAUUGGAAAAGGGGCGAAAGCCUGAUCCAGCAAGGCCGCGGGGGUGAAGAAGGUCUUCGGAUGGUAAAGCACUUUAAGUUGGGAGGCGGUACCUACAGAGAAAGCACCGGCUAACUACGUGCCAGCAGCCGCGGUAAUUC